GUUUGAUCCUGGCUCAGAUUGAACGCUGGCGGUAUGCUUAACACAUGCAAGUCGAACGGAAACGAUAAGAGCUUGCUCUUAGGCGUCGAGUGGCGGACGGGUGAGUAACGCGUAGGAAUCUGCCUGAUAGUGGGGGAUAGCCCAGAGAAAUCUGGAUUAAUACCGCAUAAUCUCUAUGGAGUAAAGUGGAGGACCUUCGGGCUUCACGCUAUCAGAUGAGCCUGCGUAAGAUUAGCUUGUUGGUGAGGUAAAAGCUCACCAAGGCGACGAUCUUUAGCUGGUCUGAGAGGAUGAUCAGCCACACUGGAACUGAGACACGGUCCAGACUCCUACGGGAGGCAGCAGUGGGGAAUAUUGGACAAUGGGGGCAACCCUGAUCCAGCAAUACCGCGUGUGUGAAGAAGGCCUGAGGGUUGUAAAGCACUUUCAAUUGUGAAGAAAAGCUAAUGGUUAAUACCCAUUAGCCUUGACGUUAACUUUAGAAGAAGCACCGGCUAACUCCGUGCCAGCAGCCGCGGUAAUAC
rnacentral:rRNA from 1 species